GCAAGCAGCCAAAUCAUGUGCGUGUUCAGGGAUCAGCCUCCUUUGGAAGGUGGAGAGCUAAUGCAGGGCACUAAUUUCCCCUUGCUUUUUUUUUUCCUUUCAAUUAUUUCCAUCCUUUCCAGGAGAGCAAACCAACCGGGCAGAUUUAUAAGUUUUCAGACGGCUGAACUUCUACACCCAGACCUUCCAAAAAUCUUGGAGUUGAAUCUGCCAAGGUUGAGAAAAAUUGAUCUGGAUUGAAAAUAUCUGCCGCAUGGCACCAUAUAGUGAGUGCUACCCUUGAAAGACAGCUUCAGGUCACCAUUGAAAGUGACUGCUGCAUGACACCAAAGAAGAAGGAUCGGAGAAUUAAAUGUUCCACUAUGAAAAGUUGGGGGAAAAAUGUGAUACAACUUGCUUGAAAAUCAACCUUGUUGGUCCUGGCGUUUCACCGCAACCACACACUCGCCAAGAGACCUUGAGGAGCACAUUCUGCUAAUCAUAGCCUCGAGGCAAGCUGGGGCCACAAAUCGUAACGGUCUCCUCGUAACAAUCAUGGUCUGUUUGCAAGCACACAACACCGAGCGGGCUGCCUCCCAAAGGCCACUGUGAACUUCAUUGUUUCGUUUCCCCAUUCAUCAGGGUGAAAAGUAUCACAUUCAAACUUAUUUGGCCUCUGUUAAAUUAUUGCAUUGAAACUUUUGGAACGGAGCAAUGAUUAAACACCUCUUGCGCGCUUCAGAAGCAUACUUAAUUCGCAGAACUAAACUUCUUGGAAAACCUCUCCAUUGCUUUUCACCCCCAGAAUUGGUCUCCGGCCAACUCAUUUGAACCUAAGUUUUAAGACUGUUGUUGGCAAGAAACGCCAUACCUUUCAUACCUCCUUCAAUUAAAUUAAACUCUUGGUAUCUUCAGGAACACCUUUUUUCACCUAUCUGGGGACCCACCUGUCUAUCUCCAUUGCACAGUGUAGCAGGUACCAUAGCAGCUGAUUGGCAUGUAAAGGUAGAGUGUACAGCCGUAGGAGACUGCAUGCCAAAACUAUGCUGCCCUUUUGGGCUUGGUGGUUUGGGCUGAGUGCAUUUAAACAUGAGCUUAGUACUCAAAACAAUAUUUGAUUAUGGUAAUUCUAAAUUGAUAAAGCUUUAAAACAGGUUGAGUAGUAAUAGAAACUUAAGCUAGAAACAGAAUAUAUUAAAUCUAUUAUGUUAUCUGUGAGAAAUAGAGAGAUGAUAGUGAAUGUAUUAAGUUGAGCUGUUUUUGUAUGUUUUUUUUCCCCC